rnacentral:rRNA from 1 species
UACUGGUCUAUACUCGAUAAUCCACGCAUAUUCAACCUUCUCUAGACUAAACAGCAUGUAUACUGCCGUUGUAAGCAUACCUUUAAAAGAAUAGUAUGCUACUAUGAUCAAUAUUAACUCAUAUACAUCAGGUCAAAGUGCAGCUAAUAAGAAGGUGAUGAUGGGUUACAACCCUAAAACAGACUAUCAACUAAGAAAUAAAAAAUCUUACGAAAGUGGACUUGGCCGUAAUCAAUUUACAAGUUAAAAAAAUGAAUAAAAACCUAAGACAUGUACACAUCGCCCGUCACUCUAUCCUAAAGGUUAGAUAAGUCGUAACAAAGUAGGUGUAAUGGAAAUUGUACCUGUCGAAGUAUAGCAUAUAUAAUGCUUUUUACUUACACUAAAAACAAAGUUAAAUAACUUACUUCGCCCAUAUAAAAUAAUCUUAUAAAGCAUAAAAUAAUAUUAGUAAUUAAACAAACUUUUAUAAAUAAUAAAGUACAGAAAUGGAAACAACAAUAAAUAAAAGUAACUUUUAACAACUGUACCUUGUGCAUUAUGGUUUUACAAGAAAACAAUUAAAAACCUUAAUCCCGAAUUCUAAAUGAGAUGUUAAACUACUGUUAAGAACCCACUAAUAACUGUAGAAAAAGUUUUAAAAGAUAGUUUAAUAGAGGCUACAUACCAUCCGCAUAAGAAUAUAGCUGGUUUUCAACAAACAUUAUACAUUAAAACAUAUAAUUAUAUUAUAGUGUAAUAUUAUUGAGGAUAAGCCCAAUAAUAAAAGCAAUAUUUAAACAAAAUCCAUUCUAUGUUAUAGGCCUAAAAUCAGCCAACAAAAAUACUUCACCGUAAUAAAUAAAGAUAAAAUAUAUAAGUGUAAAUAUGCUAAAGAAAGUUGAAAUUAUAGGCAAACUUUUAACCUUUAUAUACUAUGUAAAAAUAAGUAUUAAGUAAUAACAUUAAUAACAUACUAGAAAUCAACAACAUAUAAAAUAUUAAUAAUUAAUUAAGGAACUCGGCAAAUUAUUAUUUCGACUGUUUAACAAAAACAUUGUCUCAUGAAAGAUAAUAUGAGAUAAUACCUGCCCAGGAC